rnacentral:lncRNA from 1 species
AGGUCACAAGAUUGCGCCAACCCUUACAUGGUCCUUAAAAAAAAAACCUUCUGACACUGCAGUAGUGAAAAUGAAGCGCACGAUGGGCGGAAGCUAGGAAGACAAACAUAAAGAUGAAGUGCUUAAUUCAAGGUCACACAAUGUCGGGGAUGGACCUCCAGAUUUCCUUACUGGUGAGACGUGGUCUUGUAACACAGUGGUUAAGAAUGUGACUUUGGAGCCAGCCUGCUAGGGGCUGAAUUCUGACUCAGCCAUUUACUAACUGUGUGACCUUAGGUCACAGAAUUUUCCACACUCCUUGACAGAGGUGCUUAACCCUUAUCCAUCAGCAUUCUCAGACAGCACCUCCGGUUAGGGACAGUAUCUGACCGUCCGACAUCCCUGCAGCCCCCAUGUGUCACACAGACUCAGCCUCAGGUAGAUGGUUUCCGUAGAUGGUGGCUUUCUUUGGACCCUUGACAUCAACCAGUUACUAUUUGGGCCACACAUAACAAAUAGAAGCAGAGCAAGCCCUGGAACUCCUGCCUGACAGUGACACGACGACAGAAACAUCUUACCAGUCAGAGGACCAUGAGAAAUAGAUUCAAGGAGCAUUCCACGUGCAAGUGAGUCUUGGCCCCAUCUGCCUUUGGAUUUUAGCCGUGAACUGGAAGGUAUUGGAAAGAAGACCCUCAGAAAUAGCUUAAUCAAAAUCCCUGCGUCUGAACCAAGUGCCUUAUUUCUCUGUGGGCCUCAAGCUUCGCUGACAUCUGUGGAGCACACUGUCCUAACAGGAGUGCUGUCUGAUUUCCCAACGCUCUGCAAAACAAACAGCCUGGAAGGGUGGCUGGUGGAAGGUGGUUUUUAGAGAGAGACUUGUAGAUAACAGGAAAGUGAAGGCUGUAAGGAAGGUUGUAAUUAAACAGCACAUGGAAACACAAUCACAUUAUUGUCCCAUUCCAUAGGGAUAAUGAUGACCACUUCAGUGGGAAAAGGAGAGGUUUUAAGUCAUUAGGGACUAUGGGCCACCUUUUAGGAAGAUUUAUUUUCAAAGGUUAAAAUAGUGUUUUGGCAAUUCAAGUUUCAUUUUCAGAAAAUGUAAUUGAUGGGAACCUCAGUGACUCUGGAUGAAUAAGAUGCUGUUGAGUGGCUCUGACUUGGGCCAGCCGUGCUUCUCACAGGACCUUGGAGACCAAGGUCACUGUGAUCUCAGGUUCAGGGGGCAAGUCCUCUCCACACAGCCCUAGUUGGCCUCACAGCUGAAAAUGUCUCCCUUACUGUUGGACUCCUUUGUUCACCCACAUGAGUUUGUGAAUAAAUCCUUUCCAGUCUGAAA